AUAGCGCAUAGUACCGUGAGGGAAAGGUGAAAAGAACCCCGGGAGGGGAGUGAAAAAGAACCUGAAACCCUGUGUUUACAAGCAGUGAAAGUGCGAGCAAGGCACGAUCACGUACUUUUUGUAGAACGGACCGGCGAGUUACGUUAUGCAGCAAGGUUAAGAACUGAAGGUUCGGAGCCGAAGCGAAAGCGAGUCUGAACAGGGCGAUAGUUGCAUGACGUAGACCCGAAACCGGGUGACCUAUCCAUGAGCAGGUUGAAGUGGAGGUAAAGCUCCAUGGAGGACCGAACCAGACGUCUGUUGAAAAAGGCGGGGAUGACUUGUGGAUAGGGGAGAAAUUCCAAUCGAACCCGGAGAUAGCUGGUUCUCCUCGAAAUAGCUUUAGGGCUAGCCUCAUGGAUCAUUGAUGGGGGUAGAGCACUGAAUGUGCGCGGGGGCCACAAAGCCUACCAAACGCUAUCAAACUUCGAAUACCAUACAAUGCAGACCAUGGGAGUCAGUCCGCGAGAGAUAAGUUCCGCGGGCAAAAGGGGAACACCCCAGAUCAACCGCUAAGGUCCCCAAGUUCACGUUAAGUGGAGAAGGAUGUGGAAUUGCACAGACAACCAGGAUGUUGGCUCAGAAGCAGCCACACAUUUAAAGAGUGCGUAAUAGCUCACUGGUCGAGUGAUUGUGCGCCGAAGAUGUCCGGGGCUAAACGUGACACCGAAGCGAUGGGUGCAUCUGAAAGGAUGCGCGGUAGAGGAGCAAUGUGCAGAGGCAGAAGCCGUAUCGAGAGGCACGGUGGACACUGCACAAGAGAGAAUGCCGGUAUGAGUAGCGAGAGGCAUGCGAGAAACAUGCCCGUCGAAAGCCCAAGGUUUCCUGGGGAAGGUUCAUCCGCCCAGGGUAAGUCGGGGCCUAAGCCGAGGACGGAAGUCGUAGGCGAUGGACAGCAGGUGUAGAUUCCUGCACUACCGAUGGAAUGAAGCAGUGACACAGAAGGAUAACUCGAGCAGGGUGAUGGUCAACCCUGUGCAAGCAUCAAGGUUGGGUUGUAGUGAAGUACGCAAUCCUAUAAGCUGAGGUGUGAUGCGGACCGAAAUUUCAGUAGGGAAGCGAGUGAGUUCACGCUGGCGAGAAAAGCUGCUAGUACAUCCAAAGGUACCCGUACCGGAAACCGACGCAGGUGGGCGAGGAGAGAAUCCUGAGACGAACGGGAGAACCCUUGUUAAGGAACUCGGCAAAAUGACCCCGUAACUUCGGGAUAAGGGGUGCCUGCGAGAGCAGGCCGCAGAGAAUAGUCACAAGCGACUGUUUAGCAAAAACACAGGUAUCUGCGAAAGCGAGAGCUGACGUAUAGGUGCUGACACCUGCCCGGUGCUGGAAGGUUAAGGGAACAUGUUAGAGCAAUCGAAGCAUCGAACCGAAGCCCCAGUAAACGGCGGCCGUAACUAUAACGGUCCUAAGGUAGCGAAAUUCCUUGUCGGGUAAGUUCCGACCCGCACGAAUGGUGUAACGACUUGUGAGCUGUCUCAACAGGGGGCCCGGUGAAAUUGAAGUAUGGGUGAAGAUGCCCAUUACCCGCGACUGGACGGAAAGACCCCGUAGAGCUUUACUGCAGCCUGAUAUUGAGUUUCGGUAACUGAUGCACAGGAUAGGUGGGAGUCUGAGAGACAUGGGUUUCGGCUCAUGUGGAGACGAUGUUGGGAUACCACUCUUCGGUUACUGAAAUUCUAACAUAGCUCUGUGAAACCAGAGGAUGGACAGUGUCAGGUGGACAGUUUGACUGGGGCGGUCGCCUCCGAAAGAGUAACGGAGGCGCCCAAAGGUACCCUCAGAAUGGAUGGAAACCAUUCGAAGAGCGCAAAGGCAGAAGGGUGCCUGACUGCGAGAUUGACAAAUCGAGCAGAGACGAAAGUCGGGCUUAGUGAUCCGGCGGUAUUGAGUGGAAAAGCCGUCGCUUAACGGAUAAAAGCUACCUCGGGGAUAACAGGCUGAUCUCCCCCAAGAGUCCACAUCGACGGGGAGGUUUGGCA
rnacentral:rRNA from 1 species